CUGUAGGCUAGUUAGAACUAGAGCGAGCUAGCAUCAGUUUCAAACACAGCAGCAUCGUCGUUGAGGAACAGUUGUACUGUACUGUAUGAUGGAGUUGUGCCAAGUCUGGCAUUGCUACUGAUGUUGAUGUGAGCUGAAAAGGAGGCCCAGUGCCUUGGAGGUGGAUGUCAGACCACUGGACGAAGGAGCGCUGGAUGGGAGACCACUAGUUGAAGGAGCGCUGGAUGGGAGACCACUGGAUGAGAGAUUUCUGGAUGAGGGAAAAUGUGAUGGAGUGGGCUGUCUUAUAUUUAAACCACAGUAUUUUUGUCAUUACUAUGCUUUUAAUUGUGGUCGUUAUUGAGUUAUAUUGAGUUUGCUCCUGUUGACUUUAGCAAACCACCUCUUUCUCCUCUCACUAUCAGCUGGGAAGCCGUAGCCUACAUCACGACUCCCUAUUUGGAGCAUGCAAUACAUCCCCAUGCAUCACACCCAACCAUUAUGAAAUCCAAGAUGCUAGGUGGAAGACCAAGACAGCGCGGUGUAGACAAAAGCGUUACCUUUAUUGUGUCACCCUUUACACUCUUUUCAUAGCAGAGACUAAAAUAACAUGUGUACAUAUUUGAAUAGUCAUGUUGACUAUCAUGUAGUUGUACUGUAGCCUUUCACAACCAAGUCCUUGAGGUUUAAUCAUUGUGCACUACACAUGCAUAAAAUGAUACUAUAUAGUAGGGAAAGAUUAAAUAAAGAUGCAGAACAAAC